ACGGCUCAGUAACACGUAGUCAACCUAACCUAUGGACGGGAAUAACCUCGGGAAACUGAGAAUAAUGCCCGAUAGAACACUAUGCCUGGAAUGGUUUGUGUUCCAAAUGAUUUAUCGCCGUAGGAUGGGACUGCGGCCUAUCAGUUUGUUGGUGAGGUAAUGGCCCACCAAGACUAUUACAGGUACGGGCUCUGAGAGGAGUAGCCCGGAGAUGGGUACUGAGACACGGACCCAGGCCCUAUGGGGCGCAGCAGGCGAGAAAACUUUGCAAUGUGCGAAAGCACGACAAGGUUAAUCCGAGUGGUUUGUGCUAAACAGACCUUUUGUUAGUCCUAGAAACACUAACGAAUAAGGGGUGGGCAAGUUCUGGUGUCAGCCGCCGCGGUAAAACCAGCACCUCAAGUGGUCAGGAUGAUUAUUGGGCCUAAAGCAUCCGUAGCCGGCUCUGUAAGUUUUCGGUUAAAUCUGUAUGCUCAACAUACAGGCUGCCGGGAAUACUGCAGAGCUAGGGAGUGGGAGAGGUAGACGGUACUCGGUAGGAAGGGGUAAAAUCCUUUGAUCUAUUGAUGACCACCUGUGGCGAAGGCGGUCUACCAGAACACGUCCGACGGUGAGGGAUGAAAGCUGGGGGAGCAAACCGGAUUAGAUACCCGGGUAGUCCCAGCUGUAAACUAUGCAAACUCAGUGAUGCAUUGGCUUGUGGGCCAAUGCAGUGCUGCAGGGAAGCCGUUAAGUUUGCCGCCUGGGAAGUACGUGCGCAAGUAUGAAACUUAAAGGAAUUGGCGGGGGGAGCACCACAAGGGGUGAAGCCUGCGGUUCAAUUGGAUUCAACGCCGGG
rnacentral:rRNA from 1 species